rnacentral:other from 1 species
UACAUCCUGCGGUGUGCGUUACGGCAUUUCCUUGUUUUGAACCAAUGGCUGAAUGAAGGGAGACCUACAUCGAGAUGCAGCUGUCAUGCCCCCGAAAAGGGACUUCAAAAGCGUCUCUGCGGUCACCCACCUGCGAGAGCGGGUUCAGAAACAAGCUUGCCGGACGGCAAACGCGGGGAUGU